rnacentral:lncRNA from 1 species
AAAAUAAGUGUCCCUGUAUUUGCUGUGUGUGUGUUGACAAAGCAUACAAGACAGGUAGCCUGUUUAUGCGAACUGAUAUAUUUGGGUUCAGUUGUCUUAACAAAACACUUGUUUGUUUUCAGAAUGACAUCUUCAUCCCUGAAAAUGUUUUCAUCCUGGAGGAGACUGUGCAGGAGGCAGAGAAAAGAACGGUUAGUACAGCAUGCCAAACUGACCCCUGGGUGCCAGAGUGUUCCUGUGCUGCAGUGGAGGAGAGGUCCACUGGGACCAUCACUAAAGACCUCGGGGCCCAGAUAGAUUGCACUCAUGACCAUCAGUAUACAACCGAGUCCUGGCCCUAUACGCCACAGAUGGAGCUGACGGAGAGUGAGAUCAGUGAAAACCAUAACUCGCUGUGUGAACCUGAGAGCUCAGAAUCACAAUCACCACAGUGCGAGCCAAGAGAUACUAUCGAUCAAUUUGGGGGAGCGGGCUGGUGUUUCGAAAACGGAUUAGGAGCAGGCCAUUCAACAGCGAAUUCAAAGAUACACCCAUCCACAAAGGGAAUCGGAGUGGAAUUGUUUUUACACAGAUUUUUUUUACCCGUUUCAACGGAUGCCCUACCUUGUCCCGGUCCUGCUGUUUCGACUCUCUCUCUCAACCUAUGAAUGCUCAGCUAUGAAAAGACAACUGACAUUUGCACCCUCUAUAACCACUGUGAUUAUUAUUUUGAUGUAAAAAGGGCUUUUGUAAAAUAUAUUUGAUGGAUUGUUUGCUGUGCUGGAUACUGUGUAUUCACUUACUGUCUGAGUGAUGGGACAUUUUUGUAGUAUCUGUAACAUAUUUUGGUGUGUAUUUAAUCUGCAUCUUAACUUCUUAAAGUGGUAAUCAGCAGUAGAAACAAUAACAAAGUGGCUCCCUGCUCCUCUUUCAGUAAAAAGCUGAGGGAUGGGGCUAUAGAAAUGUAACCACUCUCAAAUUCAUAGACAGAGCUAUAGCUGCGAGGACUGAUCAUCCAUGAUAUUAACAUUGUAAUACUGUUUCUAUGACCUGUUUCCACUACCAUGCAUCCAGUUCACUUUGGAUGAAGGCGUCUGCUAAAUGGCAUAUAUUAUUCAAGUCUACUUUGACUCUGACAGCUAGCUGCCCAGUGUAGUUACCAUUCCUUUCCAAUAGAUGGCAGCCAAAGCUAGUAGAAGUCACUAUUCUCGCGACAGGGACACGGGAUUAGUGCAAAUUGAAAGUAGUUUUAUCUUCAAAGCAAGUUUAUCUGGUUACGCUUGAACCUGUUGUUAUAUUGGACAAGCUAAUUAAUACUACUGUUACAUAAGGCGCAGGCAUUAAGUCUAUGUCUUAAAAAAAAUUACAGCAGGCUAUAUUUUCUAAAUGAACUGGUUGUAUUCAAACUCAAACACCUAUGUAAAUGCCUUUGCAUAUGGGUAUGCACACUUUAUGGAAGAAACUACACACACAGGGAUGAGACGCCGUACACCUCGUCCAAUUCUCG